CCUACGGGUGGCAGCAGUGAGGAAUAUUGGUCAAUGGGCGGGAGUCUGAACCAGCCAAGUAGCGUGAAGGAUGACUGCCCUAUGGGUUGUAAACUUCUUUUAUACGGGAAUAAAAUGUUUCACGUGUGGGAUUUUGUAUGUACCAUAUGAAUAAGGAUCGGCUAACUCCGUGCCAGCAGCCGCGGUAAUACGGAGGGUCCGAGCGUUAUCCGGAUUUAUUGGGUUUAAAGGGAGCGUAGGUGGCUUGUUAAGUGAGUUGUGAAAUGUUGCGGCUCAACCGUAAAAUUGCAGUUGAAACUGGAAGUCUUGAGUACAGUAGAGGUGGGCGGAAUUCGUGGUGUAGCGGUGAAAUGCUUAGAUAUCACGAAGAACUCCGAUUGCGAAGGCAGUUCACUGGACUGCAACUGACGCUGAGGCUCGAAAGUGUGGGUAUCAAACAGGAUUAGAUACCCGUGUAGUC
rnacentral:rRNA from 1 species